CAGUAGCCGCGGUAAAACGUAGGUGGCAAGCGUUGUCCGGAAUUAUUGGGCGUAAAGGGCUCGCAGGCGGUUUCUUAAGUCUGAUGUGAAAGCCCCGGCUCAACCGGGGAGGGUCAUUGGAAACUGGGAAACUUGAGUGCAGAAGAGGAGAGUGGAAUUCCACGUGUAGCGGUGAAAUGCGUAGAGAUGUGGAGGAACACCAGUGGCGAAGGCGACUCUCUGGUCUGUAACUGACGCUGAGGAGCGAAAGCGUGGGGAGCGAACAGGAUUAGAUACCCCAGUAGUCCCUGUCUCUUAUACA
rnacentral:rRNA from 1 species